CGGAGACGCUGGCGGCGUGCUUAACACAUGCAAGUCGAACGGUGACGAGGAGCUUGCUCCUCUGAUCAGUGGCGAACGGGUGAGUAACACGUGAGCAACCUGCCCCAGACUCUGGGAUAACAGUUGGAAACAGCUGCUAAUACCGGAUACGAGACGGAGAGGCAUCUCUACCGUCUGGAAAGUUUUUCGGUCUGGGAUGGACUCGCGGCCUAUCAGCUAGUUGGUGAGGUAAUGGCUCACCAAGGCGACGACGGGUAGCCGGCCUGAGAGGGCGACCGGCCACACUGGGACUGAGACACGGCCCAGACUCCUACGGGAGGCAGCAGUGGGGAAUAUUGCACAAUGGGCGAAAGCCUGAUGCAGCGACGCCGCGUGAGGGAUGACGGCCUUCGGGUUGUAAACCUCUUUCAGCAGGGAAGAAGCGAAAGUGACGGUACCUGCAGAAGAAGCACCGGCUAACCUACGUG
rnacentral:rRNA from 1 species